rnacentral:rRNA from 1 species
AUCCGACCUCAGAUUGCGAGAUUACCCG